AUUGAACGCUGGCGGCAGGCCUAACACAUGCAAGUCGAGCGGAGCGGCGGACGGGUGAGUAAUGCCUAGGAAUCUGCCUGGUAGUGGGGGAUAACGUCCGGAAACGGGCGCUAAUACCGCAUACUAUCAGAUGAGCCUAGGUCGGUGUAGCUAGUUGGUGGGUUAAAGGCCUACCAGGGCGACGAUCCGUAACUGGUCUGAGAGGAUGAUCAGUCACACUGGAACUGGGACACGUUCCAGACUCCUACGGGAGGAAGCAGUGGGGAAUAUUGGAAAAGGGGCGAAAGCCUGAUGCAGCCAUGCCGCGUGUGGGAAGAAGGUCUUCGGUUUGUAAAGCACUUUAAGUUGGGAGGCGUUACCAGCAGAGUAAGCACCGGCUAACUUCGUGCCAGCAGCCGCGGUAAUAC
rnacentral:rRNA from 1 species